rnacentral:rRNA from 1 species
UACAGAGGGUGCAAGCGUUGUUCGGAAUUAUUGGGCGUAAAGGGCGCGUAGGCGGGCUCGCCAGUCAGGGGUGAAAGCCCACGGCUCAACCGUGGAAGUGCCUUUGAUACUGCGGGCCUCGAGGGAGGUAGGGGCGUGCGGAACUUCCGGUGGAGCGGUGAAAUGCGUAGAUAUCGGAAGGAACACCGGUGGCGAAAGCGGCGCGCUGGACCUCUUCUGACGCUGAGGCGCGAAAGCCAGGGGAGCGAACGGG